GCGCAGUUCUUGCGGGAGGAGCGGGGCGGUGCGCUCCUGGCCACGCAGGCUGGAAACUGUAGCUCUUAACGGUUCCCCGCCCGUUGGUGGCAAGGCGGCUGGACUAGAAUCCUAGCAGGCGAUAUGCGAGAAGGCGGGCAGCCCAAGAGGGUUGGGCAGGGCAGUGUGGAUCUCGCCGCUUCCACAGCGAUGCUGGCUACUGAUUUCGGACACCUCCUUGCCAUGGGAUGGAAAUUAAUGUUAUGACUGGAUAAGACAAUUGUGAAGAAACUGCACUUCGAGGUUGUCUGUCUCCGUAUUCCGAUGGAAAAGGCUGGACUUUAGAAGCAUUGCUCGCUCCUUCAGUUUCUAACAAGCCAGUUCUUGGAGAUACUAGGAAGCCAAGAGUUUCCUCCAGGAAUGGAGAUUCCUUGGAAGUGAGGUUCACCUUGAGUCAAGAAAGACGAAUCACACACGGUCAAAGGCAAUUGCCCAGGGUCUCAAGAACAGAGCCAGAAAGAAGAGCUGGGGCCGGCGGGAUUGUGGGGGUCCUCUCUCCCACCUGAAAAGCUACAGCUGCCUGCCGAUCCUCUCAAGAGGAGACCUCUCUGGGCUCCAGCACCUAAAACAGACAAACCUGGGAGGAUGCUUCUCUCUUCUGUGUCACACGUGUCCUGGAGAAAACCCAUGUAUCUGAAUGACCAAAGAAAAGUAUGAGAAAAAGUGCAAAAUCUGUGCCAGGCCAUUCAGUGUCUGGCUGGGGCUCUGGGGUGCACAUGCAUUCCAAGAAGACUGAAGGGUGCCAAGCCUGCAGGAAAUGUCCAUCAGACCUGCCUCUCACACCUGGAGUAGGACUGCCCGUCCAGCUUCAUGAUGCAGAACUGUCUUUAAAAGGUGACUGCAGAUAUGGAGAGAGGGAAUUCUAACCCUGAUAGAACAUGACCAGCUGUCCUGCUGGGGAAAGCUGCAUCUACCAGUGACACGCUGCUCAAACUGGCCCAGGACACACUCUUACUACUUAAGGAAUAAGCCCCACAUUUGCUCUUUGUGGGUAAAAGGAGAGGGUGAGAGAGGAGGGGAGUGUCCGCACAGACAUGAGAAGCCUGCAGAUCCAGAUGACCCCUUGCUGAUCAGAAUAUGAAAGAUCGAUAUGCGGAAACAAUGACCCCAUAGCAGAUGAGCUUCUAGAGCAGGCUUCAACCAUGGGUCAUCUGGACCCACUGGUGGAGAAGUCUGCCCCCACUCUAUGUUGAUGGUCUGGGGGAUACCAUUACUGAGACAGAUUUAAGAAAUAAUCUCUACCUGUUGGCGAAAUCUGGAUGGUCACUUGUGCGAGACAGCAGUGUGCUCUCAUCAGCUUUCCACAGGGCAGGCUGCGGAAAUGGUGCUGAGAAGUCCUUUUGUAAAUUGAUUGUCCAUGGCUGCAGACUUACCAUCAAAUGGAAGAAGAUUCCAAGCUCUCAAAGAAAAGGAAAAAUAGAAGGAUGGAACCACAGACUCUGGGAUCCUGCCAGAGCCUAUUUCAGUGCUGCCAGGAGCUCCUCCUCCCCCUGCAGCUCUGGUCCCCACCUUGGAGCCUCCUUCCAAGGA
rnacentral:lncRNA from 1 species